rfam:Triticum aestivum genome assembly, contig: Triticum_aestivum_CS42_TGACv1_scaffold_434639_5DL
UAGAUACUCCCUCCGUUCGGAAUUACUUGUCUCGGAAAUGGAUAUAUCUAGAACUUUUAGAUACAUCCAUUUUCGCGACAAGUAAUUCCGAACUGAGGGAGUAGAUA